GGGUACUUGGUCAAGGUGCAUGCGAAGAACGGUUUAUAUCUGGAUAAACAUUACUUUGGAUGCAUACAUUGCCAUUUGAAGAAAUGCAAAAACAGCAUUCGCAGUAUUUUUGCAGGAUAAUUUAACAGCUGUUUGAGGGAAUGUCAACCAUUUAAACAAAUUUCAUCGAGUUGUUUACGUCUCCAACUCUGAUCAGUCAUGAGAGCCAUUAUGGUACUUCUCUUCAUUCUUUGGCUUGGUCGUGCACAAGGAUUGAGUCCCGCUGAAAAAAGCGAAAUGGACUCGCAGGAUGAUCUGUGUCAGUUUCUGGAAAACAUGAUUUGUACCACAACCGACGAUUGCCAGAGCACGGGCUGUUAUGCGCUCAGCUGUCACUUCGAGAGACACAGGUGCCACUAUCCAGAAAAGCACUCUAAGAUGGUACUCCAGUGAUCAUAAGGCAAAAGAGGUAUCCAUGGAUUCAGAACAACGGUUCCUGUGCAGGAUGUCUACAUGGUACCACACAAGAUACCAGAUACAUACCAGAUUUGGGCGGUUAAAGAUGUUCUUUGUCGCUUACUCACGAGAUUGUUAAUCACUUUUAUUCAACACCUUAAGAGGAUACUUUUUUAAGAAAAUGAUGUCAAACUGAUGAUAGUAAUCAAAGGUUUGGUUUCUUAAUUAGAUAGCUUAGAUCAUUAACGACGCGUGUAAUGUUUGGUUCAGUAAUGGCUUGUCUUAGUUAAUCUGAGUUAAGAAUUAUACCUUUAUAUGUUGAUCGACAAAAUGUAAUUUCUUUUGAUUUGGAAAUAUAGGUUUUGUUGAGUGGUUCAACAAACAAAAGGCUGUACUGUGUCGUAAAGACAACGUAAAAUCGUGCAUGUAAUAGCAGUUUUGCAUGUAACAGAAGCAAAGUAAGAAUACUACUAUUUAUUAAGCUGUAUUCAAUAAACUGUGGACACAUGUUUACAAACUAUUUUUCGAAUCUGAA